UGAGGAAUAUUGGUCAAUGGGCGCGAGCCUGAACCAGCCAAGUCGCGUGAAGGAUGACUGUCUUAUGGAUUGUAAACUUCUUUUGUAGGGGAAUAAAGAGGGGCACGUGUGCCUCAGUGAAUGUACCCUACGAAUAAGCAUCGGCUAACUCCGUGCCAGCAGCCGCGGUAAUACGGAGGAUGCGAGCGUUAUCCGGAUUUAUUGGGUUUAAAGGGUGCGUAGGCGGCCUGUUAAGUCAGCGGUGAAAUCUAGGGGCUUAACUCCUAAAUUGCCAUUGAUACUGGUGGGCUUGAGUGUAGAUGAGGUAGGCGGAAUGCGUGGUGUAGCGGUGGAAUGCAUAGAUAUCACGCAGAACUCCAAUUGCGAAGGCAGCUUACUAAGGUACAACUGACGCUGAAGCACGAAAGCGUGGGUAUCAAACAGGAUUAGAUACCCUGGUAGUCCACGCAGUAAACGAUGAUAACUGGGCGUAUGCGAUAUACAGUAUGCUCCUAAGCGAAAGCGUUAAGUUAUCCACCUGGGGAGUACGCCGGCAACGGUG
rnacentral:rRNA from 1 species